GGACAUGUGGUAGAGUGGUUUAAUACGGUCGUAUUGAAAACGAUUACUUAAUAGUUAGUCGUGAGUUCGAAUCUCACCGUGUCCG